rnacentral:lncRNA from 13 species
CUGACUUUAUAAAUUGAAAUUUGUAAAUAAUGGUUUUAGCUACCUAUGUUUUGUAUUAAGAGUAUCUGCUAUGUACUAAGGUUCAAUCAGGCCAAUUGUCUUUUUUUCCCCAGAGAACUCCCAUGGACUAAUUCAAAGAUCCUGAGUCGAACAAUUACAGCGUUGUCCUCUUGACUCUUAACUAAACUGGGGCUUAGAGAAGACCACCAGCAGGUGAUCACCAUGUUUCAUUGAUAGUUCAAGGAAACUUCAUGUCCAACAGGAAGCCUUGAGGUGCUGACACCUAUACAAGCCUUUUCCAUGGGCUCAGGGCCUGAGAUGAUUUUCAGGCAGCCCAGAAUGGGAAACUUUGGAGUUGCAUGUCAAGCUGAUGGAGCAUUGACGGAGGAGCCUGCAAGCCUUAAUCGCUGCCUAGAAGAGAGCUGCCUGCUAACCAGGAACACCUGUUUGAAACACAGUGAGGGAGAGAUUAGCUUCUACUAUGUUGGAGUCAUUAUAUAUUUGGGGGUUUGUAAUAGCAGCUCACAUGUUCUAAUACAUAAGCCUAUGUGCAAACCCUGCUCCCACAUUUCAGACAGGGCUCUCUCAGUUCCAUAGCACUUUCCCAACGACGCUUUCAGACAAUCUGUUUUCUCUGGCCAUGUUUCUACUUGGUAUUCCAAUGUAGCAAGUCCCAGACAAGUGCUCCACUUGCCCUUUUGCAAUGGAAGCAGGGACUGGUUCUUACUUUGAGCCAAAUGAGAUGAAAACUUGUCCUCACCCUCUUCCCCAGAUUUAUGAGAAAGAUUUCCUUGAUCCUUGAUCAAUGGCCAGCAGCCAGUCAGACAGCCAUUUACAUGUCCACACUGGUCCCAGCCAUCAGCCAGGAUCUCCAUUCAUUCAGCAGUAUCUACUGAGUGCCUCCUAAGUGUCACGCAUUAUUCUAGGUGCUAGUGAUACAGCAGAGAACAAAGUAAAGUCUCCACCCUCUUGGACUUUCCAUCUCGUUGGGGAAGACAGACCACUGACAUACAUACAUGCAUACA